UACGUAGGGGGCAAGCGUUGUCCGGAAUUAUUGGGCGUAAAGAGCUCGUAGGCGGUCUGUCGCGUCUGCUGUGAAAACCCGAGGCUCAACCUCGGGCCUGCAGUGGGUACGGGCAGACUAGAGUGCGGUAGGGGAGAAUGGAACUCCUGGUGUAGCGGUGGAAUGCGCAGAUAUCAGGAGGAACACCGGUGGCGAAGGCGGGUCUCUGGGCCGUUACUGACGCUGAGGAGCGAAAGCGUGGGGAGCGAACAGG
rnacentral:rRNA from 1 species